rnacentral:ncRNA from 1 species
AAAAUAUUUCAUUGAUGUAUAAAAUUAGCUAUACCAAUUAAACUACAUAUGGCAGCAUACACGCAUUGUGAUUACGGGCUAAUCUUUAAUAAAUCUUUCAAAAAGUUUAUUACUUUAAAGAAUAACCCAUUAAACAUUCACUACUAAUGUUGAAACUUUUCACAACACCAAUGUUUUAUAUUAUAUUAGCUAGGAAACUAGGCCCUAGAAAAUAAGUAAAAGGGGUGGCAAAAAUGGUGCCAGCAGUCGCGGUUAUACCAAUACCCCAAGCUAAUUCCAACAAAUCGGAGCAGUCAUUAAUUUUUGGUUAUCAGAUUAACUUUUAAUGUAAAAAGUAAAUUAAAACUAAAUCCAAUACAACCAUAACUUUAACUACCCCAACAAACCAUAACUUUAGAACUCGGAUUAGAUACCCGACUACUAUAUGGCCCAACAUAAAAAAGAAUACUACAAGCGAAAGCUUAAACCUCAAACAAUGUGGCGGUGCUUUACUCCCCAUCAGGGGAUCCUGUGGCUUAAUUCGAUAAUCCACGAUAAUCUUAGCUACUCUCGUGCUUCCAGCUUGUGUAUGGCCGUUUAUGCUUGCUCGAAAAAGAAAAAAAAGGAAGCAAUAGAACUAAUUCAUUCAAAAAUUCAGGUGACAUACAGCCAAUGGGGAGCAGAUCCAUGGGAUACAAAUAAAUAUACUAACAGAUUUAAAGUUACAAAUCUUUAAUGAAGGAGGACUUGAAAGUAAGACUUAAUUUCCACAAAAUAAGUCUGAAUAAGAACUAAAGCGCGUACAAAUCGCCCGUCACUCCGACAACAAAGUAGGAUAAGUCGUAACACAGUAGGGGUAAUGGAAAUUGCCCCUAUCACAA